rnacentral:rRNA from 1 species
GACAGAGGGUGCAAACGUUGUUCGGAAUUACUGGGCGUAAAGCGUGUGUAGGCGGUCCACUAAGUCGGGUGUGAAAGCCCUGGGCUCAACCCAGGAAGUGCACUCGAAACUGGCGGGCUAGAGUAUCGGAGAGGUUGGUGGAAUUCUCGGUGUAGAGGUGAAAUUCGUAGAUAUCGAGAGGAACACCGGUGGCGAAGGCGGCCAACUGGACGAAUACUGACGCUGAGGAGCGAAAGCGUGGGGAGCGAACAGG